AAUUGUGGGAUUGCAUGUUUUCAUAUUCCGUUUGGAGUAAAUGCGUCGUCGACUUCGCGGCAAGUAGUAAACGUGUUUAGAUGGAAAAAAGGGAGAAAAAAUUUACAAAAAUGUUAUUUGUUUAGUUAAUAUGAUUGACAUAUCAACGCUAUUUAAUCGUACGGAUAUGUUACUAAGAUUCUUUUAAUUAAUGCAUUGAAAAGAUUAGGCUAUUAAUUAGUGAUCAAACUAUGAGGAGAAUUACAGAAAUUUACAGUAUAAUUGCUGAACAGUAACUGAGUACAUUCUAUAAAGCUUCUAUUUCUAAUUAACAAUAAUAGAAAUGACAAAUACUCAUCAUUGGCAUGUUGAUGAUAUUGAUGAUGCCUUGGCUGCUGAUUUUGAUGGAAGCCUUUCUGGUUUGGGAAUGGAGCUGGGUACUGCAUCGUUUAAU